rnacentral:rRNA from 1 species
GUGCCAGCCGCCGCGGUAAUACGAAGGGUGCAAGCGUUGUUCGGAUUUAUUGGGCGUAAAGCGCGCGCAGGCGGAUUUGCAAGUCAGAUGUGAAAUCUCGGGGCUCAACCCCGAAACUGCGUCUGAAACUACAAGUCUAGAAUCUCGGAGAGGGAAGUGGAAUUUCGCAUGUAGGGGUAAAAUCCGUAGAGAUGCGAAGGAACACCGGAGGCGAAGGCGGCUUCCUGGCCGAGUAUUGACGCUGAGGCGCGAAAGCGUGGGGAGCAAACAGGAUUAGAUACCCCGGUAGUCC